CCCUAGUGGUCUAGUGGUUAGGACUCAGUACUUUAACUGCUAUGGGCUGGGUUCAAACCCUGGUCUGGGGA
rnacentral:tRNA from 1 species